GUUAGGGGGUACAUAUGCACGUUCGUUAUAUAGCUAAACUUGUGUCAUGGGGGUUUGUUGUACAGAUUAUUUCAUCACCCAGGUACCAAGCCUAGUACCCAAUAGUUUUUUCUGCUCCUCUCCCUCCUCCCACCCUCCACCCUCAGGUAGGGCCCAGUGUCUGUUGUUUAUGAGUUCUCAUCAUUUUGCUCCCACUUAAAAGAACAUACAGUAUUUGGUUUUCUGUUCCUGUCUUAGUUUGCUGAGGAUAAUGGCCUCUAGCUCCAUCUGUGUUCCUGCAAAAGACAUGAUCUCGCUGUUUUUUAUGGUUGCACAUCUUUUGUUCUAACAUUUGGUCCUUAAACCUGGUUCCUGACACAGAGCUCCUAAAUCCCUUGGAAUUUUCUGGGUGAUAGAAGCGUCCUUUGUUCUCAUGAGGUGACUCUUGGUGGGCUCCUUAUUUGGGGACUGGUCACCAAAAAGACCUAUGGUUGGAAGCGUUGUGCUGUCAGCCCCAUUCCCCAUCCUCUGGCGUGGGGAGUAGAGCUGGAGCUCAAUCAUGCCUACGUGAUAAAGCCUCCAGAAAACUCCUUAAAAGACAGGACUUGGAGAGCUUCCGGGUUGGCGAACACAUCCAUGUUCCAGGAGAGUGGUGCACCCCAACUCCACAAGGACCCUUCCAAACCUCACCCUGUGUAUCUCUUCAACUGGCUUCAUCAUUUGUGUCCUUUAAAAUAUCCUUUGUAAUAAAUCAGCACUAGUAAGAAAACUGUUUUCCUGGGUUCCAUGAGCUGUUCUAGCAAAUGUUCAAACCUGAGGAGGGAGUUGUGGGGACCUCCAAUUUACAGCCAGUUGGUCAGAUGCAUAGGUGAUGCUUGGCCUUGCACCUGGGGUCUGACAUGCGGAUGGUUCUGUGUGACUGAGCCCUUAACCUGUGGAGUCUGGUGCUCACUCUGCUUAGGGCUUCUCUUGCCUUUUUAGUGUCCUUCUAGGCGGCCUUUCCUUCCUCUUGUCAGCUCAGAAAACUUUUCUUCCACUUCCCUUCUUCUAAACCAUCCCUUACAUCUACUCCUUUCCAGCCGACCAAGAGCAGAACCACGGCUGGUUCCACUGCCACCAUGCUGUCCCACACUGUCUCCUCAGGAUGUAUUCAGAUGUCCAGCCCUCCCCCCAGUCUAGGAGCCCCC
rnacentral:lncRNA from 10 species